rnacentral:piRNA from 1 species
UUCCAUAAAAGUGUGAGGUGUGUGGCCC